GAUCAUGUGCCUGUCGUACUUUGUUUACCUAACUGUCAGCAGGGAAGGACAAGCAGGUUCAAUUACCCGGAGAGCAUUGAGCAGAGAGGGACACAAUUUAAAGAGAAAACAUAUCUGAGGACUGCUGCCAACAUGGCCAGUGGUUGCUGUGCAUUUGUCCUACUCUCCGUCUUCCAUGUGUCGCUGAGUGUUGAAAUGACAGGCUUAUAUGGCAACUUCACCACCCCCAACUUCCCCCAGCCAUAUCCUGAUAACACGCUCACGGUGUGGAACAUCACCGUCCCACAGGGCCACAGGAUCAAACUCUACUUCACUCACUUCAGCAUAGAACCGUCCAACCUGUGUGAAUAUGAUUACAUUCAGGUUUUGGCAGAAGGCAACGAUACUGUGCGGUUCUGUGGAGAAGAAGAAAAGAACGAUGAAAGCACCCCGAGGAACACUGUCAUCCUGUCAGCCGGCAACCGCAUGUCAGUGGUCUUUAGGAGCGACUACUCUAAUGAGGAGCGAUUCACUGGCUUCCAAGCAUUUUACACCUCAGAAGACAUUAACGAGUGUCAAUACCGUGUGGACGAGGAAGAAACCUGCGACCAUUUUUGCCACAAUUACAUCGGUGGGUAUUACUGUACAUGUAGGCCAGGAUAUCUUCUUCAUCUCAACAGAAGAUCAUGUACAGUGCUAUGCCCCAGUCAAGUGUUGACCAACCUGUCAGGCCUUCUGACGAGUCCAGGCUAUCCGAGCCCAUAUCCGCCCAUGAUUCACUGCAACCACACCAUCCGUCUUCCUGAGAGCUACAAAAUAAACCUGGAUUUUAUGGAGCCUUUUGACAUCGAGGGACAUCCGGACAUCCUCUGUCCAUACGAUAUGUUAAAGGCCAUCGAGACUACGGGCCGUUCUGUGGAUCGACGCCACCAGACAACAUCUACUUUGAAAGUUUCCAAUUGCAUGUUUCAUUCAGGUCGGACUCAAGUGGAAAAAACAAAGGAUGGAAGAUCAAGUACACGAGUAUAAAUGCCACGUCCCUUACUUUGAUUACGACUUGAAAGGAAACAUUACAAAUAACAGAGUCAGCAAUGAUGGUGUUAGCAUUUACUGCAUUUCAUCUGUCUCUGUUCAACAAAGAAACACACUUAAGUGUGUUGAGGUGCUGAAGAAGUGCCCUUGUAUUGAUGUAGUCAUUUCUUUUUAUGGCUUCUUCUUUGAAUAAUGUAGAAUUAGGCUGACAUUAUGACAAAUGAGCAUAGCAAGUGCCGGUUUAUAUAAGUUUGGUUUACAAGAAAUCACAACUCUUGUCUUGUGUUGGAAGUAAUCACAAGAGACAAUGUGGAUGACGUGAAGUUGGAGUUAUUUUGAAAUACAGUAUGUUUGGUUUGGCGGUUUUGCUACUUUUGAAUCCAUCUGUUUUGUUUAUGUUGACAAGAGAGAGCAAUGGUGAAGAUUGAAGAUACAGUAAAGACUGUCACUUAAACAAAUAAAGAAAUAAAUUUAGGAAAAAUAAAUAAAGGAAUUUUAAUUGAUGAUACACAAAUGUUACUUACUAGUAAAUCUUUGCCCGUGCAAUAACUUAUGACCUUUGAUGGCAACAGCGAAACAGCUCAAUCCAAAUACAGGAGUGCUUUCAUAUACUGUAGGAGUUCAAUUCAAUUCGUGUUAACGAGUAAGUGGCUGAUAGAUCAGAUUUGAAAAUAUCCCCUAGAGUGCGAGGUGGCCUGUUCAGACCAUCAUGAAAGAAUCUCAUUUGAUUCAGAUGAAGGCUUAAAGAUCUGAUUUGCUUCACUCCAUGCUGCGGUCUCAAUGUAGCCUAUAUUUGCACGUAAGUAUAUUUGACAGUAACCUAUUAUUGGAUGGCAUUAAAGGAUUUAGAGCCUCUUUCGAACUCCUUUUUUCUUUUUUUCAAAUGUUGUCUUUGAAAAUUUCUUCUUGAUGUGAAUUGAUCUAUAUUCACGAAUGUUGAUUUGUUGAGUUCACUGCCACUAAAUAGCGCUUUUAUCCAAAAUGUUUGGAAAGCAAAAAUAUUGGACCAGUGGUGACUCAUAUCUAAAAAAUCUUAUAAUUCAAGCCACACCUGUAAUUGAUCUCAAUGGAAAAUGCUGUUUUAUAUUGAACUAAAUUUAAGAUUGACCAAUAUCACAGAUUUGAUCAUGACAAACAUGAUAAAAUUGUCGGUGUGACAAAAAAAAAAAAAGAAAAAUACAGUAAAUUCACUGUUGGUCAGAAUGCCAACCUGUAGUUUGCGCUUUUAGACAACAAUAUAAUGUAUACAUGAAACUGGCUGCUACCACAACAGCCCAGUUGGAUCUAAUUCCACAGGAAUUACGCCCACCAUGACACCUAUUAAGUAGCUGUCUAGCUGCAGAUUUAACUUGCUGCUCUUAAAGUCUGUGUUACAUGCAUGAAUCUACUAAGUAAAUAGUGACAGGGUUCCACUGAUUGAAAAUGUUUUUUUUAAUUGGUUGAACUAGAUUGCACUGUUAGUUACUUAAUCAAAACAUAAUUUAUAAAUUUCAAGAUAGUCUACAGUGAGGAAAAUAAGUAUUCUCCCACUUGGAAAUGAGGGUUUGAAAAUUUCAUGGUAGGUGCUUGUCCACUGUGGGAGACAAUCAAAAGAAAAAAUAAAUCCAGAAAUCACAGUGUCUGAUUAUUUAAAAAAAAUAUAUAUUUGUAAAUUAGUGCUGUUAAAUGAUUAAAAAAUGUAAUCUAGUUAAUCAUAUGUCAACUGUGUGAUUAAUCAUGAUUAAUCACAUUCCCCACUGGGUGAAUAAAGUUGCUCUUCAGGAAAAAAAAAAAAAAUCUAGAAAAAUACUAUAAUUGCCUUAAAAUUUGUUUUCAGAUGAAAUGUAUGAUGUAUGAAUGAAUUAAUACUUAACCAAAUAGAGGUUUAAAAUUUUAUUUAACAACUCAGCUCGUAUAAAAUAAAAUAAAUUGUCAGUAUUAUACAGAAAAGAGCUUAACAGAUUAAAGUGCCUCAGACUAACAAUGUGGCUCAAGUACCGUUUGGCAUAUUGCGCAAAAUUAACUGCCAACUUAAAGAGCAGACUAGCACAAUACAGUAACAAUAGCUAGUAUUUCAAAAAAAGUGAAAACAACUUGUCUGUUAAAUUAAACAUUUCACACAAAUAAAUGCAGCAUUUGCAGUUUUACACUAAAUGGCCUGAAAGCUGUGUGAGAUUAAAAAAAAAAAAAAAGUUGUCAGUUUUCACACACUUAACUGAAAAACAUUACAUUAAAAUGUGUGUAAAGGUGUUUCAGGGUCCCCCCAGAAUUGAUCAAUCUAAAUUCAACACUUUUAAGACCGUUUUUAAUGCCAUUUCAACUGAAAAUUAAUACUUUUCUUGCACCCAUUAUUUAGAUCAUAUUGAAUCAUAUUAAACAAAUAAAGUACCGAACGUCAAAUUUAACCUCAAUUACUAAGUGUGUUUGACAAAAGAAUGCACAUAUAUUGAAGAUACAAUUAAAACACAUUUAAAGUAACAUUAUAAAGUCUGUCAGAAUUUUUUUAAACACACACACGCACACAAUAAUUAUGGACAAAAAGAGGAGGAGGACAAGACUCAGACCAGCCAUCCUCUGUAACAGGCUAGCCGCUAGUGCCAAGACCCCAGUGAACAUGGCUAACUCUUGAGUUAACAUGGCGAAAUUCACAUUCAUUCAAAAGGCAAACCAAAAUUUUUAAGCAGGUCCACUGCCUUCGCGUGACCCAUAAACUGCAACCUAAAUUAUCUGGAUGUAACUUGAGCCCCUAUCACAUACUCCAAAACAACGGGAAUAUCGCGGGACUUAACCGUGCAGCAGUUGUGUGUGAAAACAGUUUCCCGUGUCGACUGACAUGGGAAGCAGUGUGCGUGAAAGCAGGCGUUAAAUUCCCGGGUCACAGCAGAUGGCUGAUGACUUAAAUAUCAUAGCGGCGGCCGAUGUAACUUCCUCCCUCUUCGCAGUAAGAGGAAAAGCGGUAAACAAACAUCGCAAAUAUAAACAUAGCUAGCUGGAAACAGCUCAAUUAAACUGAAAACAUAACCAAAAUUAAAAUGUCAAUUAUUACGUCGGGCCGGGCCAGGGUUCUUUCUCGCUGACUUUUUGAAAUAACUAUAUAUUAACGAUGUAUGAAUGAUAAACUAAGGAAUACUUGUUAUAAAAUAAAUAAUUUGGAUAAAAAAAAAGAAGGCGCUGUAUGGUCAUUGCCGAGCCAGAGCAUGCCUAUAGACCCUACCCACCGACAUCACAAAAUCACGUGCUCGCUGUAUGGUUCCGCCCACUUGUCCGUCAUUUUGUGUCUGUAUUAUCAAUGGUCUCAAUUGAUCGAGCAAUUUAUAAUGCAUUUCAUGGAAGAUCCGGUGCUUUCGGAUGCCGUAAACUCACUUGAUGCGUUGCAUAAAAGGCAUUAUGUGGAAAAGCUUCAGUUUAUCCAUUCGCCAGAUCCAUAUUUGAUGCCUAAAUCGAUGUUUUUCGACCCGCUGUCUCCGCCGUAUUUGCCUGACAACUGCUAGCUACCCUGAACUGUACAAUUAUCUUGUCCACACAAAAUCAGCCUAUUCUCACGAAAGUUUGAAAAACUUUAAGAGCUUGGAGGCUUAUAAAUACUUCGUUGCUGGUUGGGUGAAACAGGUCCUCGUCCACGAAAAUUCGGCAGGAAUCUAUCUUGUGCUUGGAAAGGUGAGUUACGAAAUUUUCAAUUCAAAAUCUUUUGUUAUUGCUAACAUCCACUGUCAAGUCUAAUGUAUUUCAUGUCGUUUGUCAAUGGAGUUAGGGCUUUUAAUGUUUAUAUGGUUUAGCGAUAGCACUCUCACUACAUACAUACGUGUAUGUUGUCGGCGAUUAGCCUAGCAAUGAUCUUAAUUGUGGUUGUCAGCCCAAAACCCUCUAAAUAUAUAUUAAAUGCAUCUUACCAGAUAUAAAAUGACUACUACAUAAUCUGUGGUAAUCGUUUGGAGCCCAGUUUUCUCAUCGAAUUGCAGCAGCCCAUCUCGCUCUCUCUUCUCCGGGUCUCUCGGAAUCCGGUAGAACUUCAAGUCUCUCCGUCUAUCUUCUCUGUUAUUGCAACCGACCGCCACACACGCCUUCACCAUUUUGAUUAUUAAUGUUAACGAGCAGAAAAACACGUCGUAAAUAGGAGGAAUGUACGUAGCUGUAACAGGGAAACAUGAUGUGUUGACGGACAAUUGGGCGGCACCAGUCAGGAGGAAGGAGUUGUGACGUCACGUUAGAGGUUAGAUUUUGUGCCCGAACCCGAACCCGACCCGACAUUCGGGUCGGGUCGGGUUCGGGCCCACAUUUUAAGCAUUCACGUUCGGGUCAGUUCGGGUCGGGCCGCCAUGCCGGACUAAUAAAUUAUUUAAAAAAAAAAAAAAAAAAAAAAAUGGAGAGCAGGCUCUAUGUAUUGCGCUUCUGCUUGUGCGUGUGCACGAACGCUGUGGCGCCGGCCGCUUUUUCAUUUCCUUGUCAGAGAGGCGCGUCCAUGUGAGAACAAUAUCCCCCACACUCAGAAAUAUGUUUAACAAACUUUCCCAGCGUUAUUUCGUUGUGUGAAUGCUUUGAUAAUUCUCAAAAAAAUAUGUAGAUUAAUUAAACAUUAAGAAAACUUGCGUUUUUUUCUGCCAACUCGAAGAAAUGAAAAUAAAUUGCUGCUGCUGCGUUUUUUUCCGCGUCACUCAAAAAAAAAAAAAAAAAUGGAGAGCAGGCUCUCUGUAUUGCGCUUUUGCUUGUGCGUGUGCACGUCACGAACGCCGUGGCGCCGGCCGCUCUUUAUUCUUGUCCUCCCGCUGUACCGUUUGGCACGGCCGAGGCGCCGCCCUCAUUUUCAUUUCCUUGUCAGAGAGGCGCGUCCAUGUGAGAACAAUAUCCCCCACACUCAGAAAUAUGUUUAACAAACUUUCCCAGCGUUAUUUCGUUGUGUGAAUGCUUUGAUAAUUCUCAAAAAAAUAUGUAGAUUAUUUAAACAUUAAGAAAACUUGCGUUUUUUUCUGCCAACUCGAAGAAAUGAAAAUAAAUUGCUGCUGCUGCGUUUUUUCCGCGUCACUCAAAAAAAAAAAAAAAAAAAAAAAAAACGGGUUUUUCGGGCUCGGGCCUGCAAAUCUAGUUAAGUGAUCGAGCUCGGGCCGGGUCGGGCCUCAAUACCAGCGGGCCGUGUCGGGUCGGGCUGGAUUUUUUAGGCCCGAACUAGGCUCUACGUCACGUGGGUAGGGUCUAUACGCCCUUUUUAAUCUUCCUCUCUGCGAGUCCGCAAAACUGUAUCUGUUUACUUAUAUUUAACAAACUUUUCCCGUGUUAUUUCGUUGUGUAAAUACAUUUAUGAUGAUCAUAAAAAUAUGUACUCUAUUUAAACAUUAAGAAAAUACGUUUUUUUUCUGCCAACUGAAAAUUCGUUACAAAAGACAGGCUUUUAUGCAGACAUCGUCACAAAUGUUAUCACACAAAACGCGGGCCGGGCUUUAAUACCCGCGGACCAGUUCGGGUCGGGCUGGAUUUUUUAGGCCGAUUUUACAUCUAUCUUAAAGUCUUGAUGAGCUUAAAUUGGCUGCAGUUACGAAGUCGGGAAUGCUCCCUCCGGAAAAAAACACGAUUUGACCGACAUUAUGUUUAACAAACUUUUCCAGCGUUAUUUCAUUGUGUAAAUGCAUUUAUAAUGAUCAUAAAAAUAUGUAGACUAUUUAAACAUUAAGAAAAUGUGAGUUUUUUUUUCUGCCAAUUGAAAAUUCAUUACAAAAGACAGUUACGACAUCGGGAACGCUCCCUCUGGAACAAAACGCAAUACGACCAACAUUGUGACAGCUGAUGCCGACCAAAAAUGACGUAAUAUCCGAAACAGAUCACCAAUAAACUCAUUUGAAGUAUAUGGAUGGUGGUCUGUUUUGGUGUUCAGAAUCCACAAUACCUCUUCCUGCAGGGUUUUCGUUCCACCGAAAAACGGACGCAUUCCCGAUGCAGAGGUAGGUGGAUUCUCCGUUUUGCCGGUUGUGGUGGUUUGGCACGCACGAGUUGCAUUUCGAUUUGUAGUGCAGUGCAUCGUCAAAAUUCUAUGCGUCAUCUUUGUUAUGGAUUUUAAAAAAUUAAAAAAAAAAAAAAAAAAAAACCUUCGUCACGGAUAUAAUUUAGGUUGUACUGAGAUGUUCUUGAAAAUUAAGACCACAGUGAAAAAAUUCCAGACUUACAACAGAUAAUUUAAUACUUUUAAUACCUUUAAGAAUGGAAAACUAAAUUCAAUGCUUUUUUAAUACUUUUAAUAACCCGCGGGUACCAUGUGUUUAGAAACACUGCUUAAGUUAGCCAGUCAUACCCUUUUUUUUUUGUCCAGUGGUCUCCUGUCAGUGCAACAAACGUAACUCUGGCUAGUUGCUCGACCUUCGUUGCCUUUUCAUUUUCAAAAAGUUUUUUUUAAUUUGACUUUUGACCUAUUUGAGGCGGUUAGCAGAAUAUAAACACCUGUCCACCCUAUACAUCAGGAGGACUCAAAUUCCUAACGUGGUCAAGAUCAAAGAGCUGUCCGAAGACACCAGAGAGAAUUGUAGACCUCUACAAGGCGUGGCAUGGUUACGGGGCAAUUGCCAAGUAGCUUGGUGAUAUAAGAUCCAACGUUGGAGCAAUUAUUAUAAAAUGGAAGAAGCUAAACAUGACUGUCAAUCUCCCUCGGACUGGGGGCUCCAUGCAAGAUCUACCUUGUAAGGUCUCAGUGAGCCUAGAAAUUGUGAAGAAUCAGCAAAGAACUACACAGGAAGAGCCGGUCAAUGAUCUGAAAGGAGCUGGGACCAGCAUUUCCAAGGUCACUGCUGGUAAUACACUAAGACAUCAUGGUUUAAAAUCAUGAAUGGCACGGAAGGUUACCCUGCUAAAACCAGCACAAGUGCGGGCCCGUUUUAAGUUUGCCAUUGACCAUUUGGAUGUUCUAGAGGAGUCAUGGGAGAAGAUCAUGUGGUCAUAUGAGAUCAAACUUUUUGGUCUUAAUUACAGUCAUAGUGUUUGGAGGAAGAAGAAUGAUGAGUACCAUCCCAAAAACACCAUCCCUACUGUGAAGUGUGGGGAUGGUAGCAUCAUGCUUUGGGGGUGUUUUCUGCACAUGGGACUAGACGACUGCACUGUAUUAAGGAUAGGAUGACCACGGCCAUGUAUUUUGAGAUUUUGGGGAAUAACCUCCUUCCCUCAGUUAGAGCAUUGAAAGUGGGUCGUGACUGGGUCUUCUAACAUGACAGUGGCCCGAAGCAGACAGCCAGAAUAACCAAGGAGUGACUUCCUAAAAAGCAUAUCAAGGUUCUAGAGGGGCCUAGCCAGUCUCCAGACUUAAACCCAAUCGAAAAUCUUUGGAGGAAGCUCAGUGACAGCCCAGAAUUCUGAUUGAUCUAGAGAAGAUCUGUGUGGAGCAGUGUUGCAAAAUCCCUGCUGCAGUCUGUAUAAACCUGGUGAAAAGUUACGGGAAACGUUUGACCUCUUUAAUUGUAAUCAAAGGCUACUGUACCAAGUAUUAAAAUGGAUUUUUUCAGGUGUUCAAAUACUUAUUUGCAGCAGUAUAAUACAAAUAAAUAGUUAAAAAAUCAUACACUGUGAUUUCUGGAUUUGUUUUUUAGAUGGUCUCUCACCGUAGACAAGCACCUACCAUGAAAAUUUCAAACCCGCCCAUCAUUUCUUAGUGGGAGAACUAGCAAAAUUGCAGGGUGUUCAAAUACUUAUUUUCCUCACUGUAAAUAAUUUUUUUUUUUUUUUUACAAAGCUUUUACUAAUUCCUUUUUUUCCUAGUCAAACAACCCUGUGUUGCAUAUUGACUUUCAAUUCUAAUCUUAAACAAGAAAAUAGUCAUAGGAAUGAUCAAGUAAUUUUUUCCAUUCUGAGACCUGAAAUGUGUGUGUGUUGGGGGACAUCCUAAGGAAACAUUUCAUGUCAGUGAUUCUAAAUUGAUGGGUUGUGACCAAGUGGCUUACAGGCUAGUAUGGAUGAGUCACGGCGUAUUUGACAUUAAAUUAACAACUUGACAUACUGCAUAGCGAAGUCACAUUUAUUUAUAAGGCCCCACAACGGAUGUCUCAAUGGGAUUCACAGACCCACAGUUGACAUAUAAU